GGGGAUGUAGAUCAGUGGAAGAGUGCAUGCUUCUCAUGUAUGAGGUCCUGGGUUCAAUCCCCAGCAUCUCCA
rfam:Astyanax mexicanus chromosome 22, whole genome shotgun sequence.